rnacentral:rRNA from 1 species
CCUACGGGGGGCAGCAGUAGGGAAUCUUUCACAAUGGGCGAAAGCCUGAUGGAGCAACGCCGCGUGCAGGAUGCAGGCCUUCGGGUUUUAAACUGCUUUUAUAAGCGGGAAAUAUGAUGGUAACUUAUGAAUAAGGAUCGGCUAACUACGUGCCAGCAGCCGCUAUCAUACGUAGGAUCCGAGCAUUAUCCGGAGUGACUGGGUGUAAAGAGUUGCGUAGGUGGCAUAAUAAGUAGCUAGUGAAAUCUGGUGGCUCAACCAUUCAGACUAUUAGCUAAACUGUUAAGCUCGAGAACGUUAGGGGCAUCUGGAAUUUCUAGUGUAGGAGUGAAAUCCGUAGAUAUUAGAAGGAACACCAAUAGCGUAGGCAGGAUGCUGGGACGGUUCUGACACUAAGGCACGAAAGCGUAGGGAGCAAACGGGAUUAGAUACCCUUGUAGUC